GAGAGAAGCUGCUUGAAAGUUGUCUAAUUCAGCCUUGUCAGUGGUUUAAUCACAAGGUGAUCUGAGGUGAUACAGUUAAAGUGGUUAACCAUGGAAGAUGAUCACAAGCUGCCCUCUGGAUCUUCUCCAUCGGAGCGCCCGCCUGGUGAUAAAGUCCUGUUGACUUCUGUGGCCUCCUGCUUACUCAUGUCCCAUUUCACACCCUGUGCUCCAGCUCAAUUACUUGCUGUUUACAGAUUGUUCAUGUGGUGUUGCUUCCUAACUGAUUUGCCGACAAACUGAACCUGGUCUUCUUUCUCUCCUUCAUGUCUGUCUGACCAACACCAGCUUUCAUCUUUCAAAAAUCAGUUUCUUUUACUUCCUCCAAAAACCAUUUACAUGACAUUGGCCAUGUCUUCUAGGAGUCUUCUAACAGUAUUAUAAUGGGUUUAAUAGUGCACUCCACAAAAGGUAAUGUCUGUAUGGAACCUGUACAUACAUAUGGCUUCAUUUCGAAGAAGGACAUUUUCGGGUGAAUGUAAGGACCUAUGGAUGACAUCGUCCUGGAUUAGAGUGGGCCCUAACCCCACUGACAAGUUCUUUUAAGAGAAAAGAAGGGGAAACAGAUGCAGAGGAGGUCUUGGGAGGAUAGAGGCAAAGGUAAACACCAUGUCUUGAAAUUCCCUGGACCACAAAAGCUAGAAGAGGGUCAUGGAACACUUUCUAUCAGAGCCUCUGGAAGGAACCGACCCUGCUGCUCUUUUUAUUUCAGACUUCUAUUAUGAUGACAAAAUAAGUUUCUAUUCUAAGCCACCUAGUUUGUGGUAAAUUGUUACAGUCAACCUAAGCAUUGAAUACAACUGUCUCACAAAACAGCCUGAUAUAUCACUACACUUUUCUAUCUUCUCUGAUACUCAUGAGAAGUCACAAUGUCUAGAUGCUGCAGAGACUGAGAACUUGAGAGAAGAGCCAUGUCAUAUUUCUUCAGUGUCCCCAAGCAAGGAUCUUGCAUAGUUCCUAAAUAUGGAGAUCUGCCAAGUGAGUAAUUGGAUGGAGUGCGUGAAUCCUGAUAAAUGAGAUAGAUGGAGUAAUCCUGCUGUGGCCUUUUCAGGUAACAUGGUUCACACUCUGCAUGUUGAAGAUUAAGUGGGCAAAAAAAUCUUUAACUCUAGCCUAGGGGUCAGUAGCCCAGUUGGUGGGCCAAUUCACCUCCCUCUGUACUUACACAAUCUGUGAAUUAAGAAUGAUUUUUAAAACGUUGGGGGAAUAAAGGAUAACAUGUUUUUCUAAAAGUUGAAAAAUAUUUUGUAGCAUGAGAAAAGUAUAUGAAAUUCAAACUCCAGUGUUCAUAAAUAAAAGUUUAUUGAACAUA
rnacentral:lncRNA from 1 species